rnacentral:lncRNA from 1 species
CUCAUUUUACUAUGUCUUCUCUUGAUGAUUUGUUGCAGGAACUGGGCUACGAGUUGGCACGUCAGCGAGGUGUUUGGCCAGAUGAUCUUCUUCAGCACCUCUGUGACAUUGAAGAUUUUGCUGUGAGUAAUCCUCGUUUGUCUCAACUGGUCUCGGAAGUCUCGCACCGCGUUCGCGCUCUUCAGCAAGUCAGCAAUGGUACCGGUGUUGUUGUUCCAAUCGCAGCAACUGUUUCCCGCAACCGUCGGUCUGCCACUCCGUUCGGUCCUGCUAUCCCUGCUGCCGUCUUUGGCGCUGCCUCUGCUCCUUCCCCCCUCCUGGGGCCCCUGU